rnacentral:rRNA from 1 species
GACGAACCGUGCGAACGUUGUUCGGAAUCACUGGGCUUAAAGGGCGCGUAGGCGGACUCCCAAGUCCGGGGUGAAAUCUUUCGGCCUAACCGGAAAAGUGCCUUGGAUACUGGGAGUCUCGAGGGAGGUAGGGGCGGAUGGAACUUCCGGUGGAGCGGUGAAAUGCGUUGAUAUCGGAAGGAACGCCGGUGGCGAAAGCGAUCCGCUGGACCUCUUCUGACGCUGAGGCGCGAAAGCCAGGGGAGCAAACGGG